AGAGUUUGAUCCUGGCUCAGGACGAACGCUGGCGGCGUGCCUAAUACAUGCAAGUCGAGCGGACUGAAAGGAGAGCUCGCUCUCCUUUCAGUCAGCGGCGGACGGGUGAGUAACACGUGGGUAACCUGCCUGUAAGACCGGGAUAACUCGCGGAAACGCGAGCUAAUACCGGAUAGGUCCCGUGGCCGCAUGGCGACGGGAGGAAAGAUGGCGCGAGCUAUCGCUUACAGAUGGGCCCGCGGCGCAUUAGCUAGUUGGUGGGGUAACGGCCCACCAAGGCGACGAUGCGUAGCCGACCUGAGAGGGUGAUCGGCCACAUUGGGACUGAGACACGGCCCAAACUCCUACGGGAGGCAGCAGUAGGGAAUCUUCCGCAAUGGGCGAAAGCCUGACGGAGCAACGCCGCGUGAGCGAAGAAGGCCUUCGGGUCGUAAAGCUCUGUUGUCAGGGAAGAACAAGUACCGGAGUAACUGCCGGUACCUUGACGGUACCUGACCAGAAAGCCCCGGCUAACUACGUGCCAGCAGCCGCGGUAAUACGUAGGGGGCGAGCGUUGUCCGGAAUCAUUGGGCGUAAAGCGCGCGCAGGCGGUCCCUUAAGUCUGAUGUGAAAUCUUGCGGCUCAACCGCAAGAGGUCAUUGGAAACUGGGGGACUUGAGUGCAGGAGAGGGAAGCGGAAUUCCAUGUGUAACGGUGAAAUGCGUAGGGAUAUGGAGGAACACCAGUGGCGAAGGCGGCUUCCUGGCCUGUAACUGACGCUCAGGCGCGAAAGCGUGGGGAGCAAACAGGAUUAGAUACCCUGGUAGUCCACGCCGUAAACGAUGAGUGCUAGGUGUUGGAGGGGUUUACCCUUCAGUGCUGGAGCUAACGCAUUAAGCACUCCGCCUGGGGAGUACGGCCGCAAGGCUGAAACUCAAAUGAAUUGACGG
rnacentral:rRNA from 1 species